UAUACGAAUAUCUUUUUUGGAAAACUGAGUAUAUAUAAAACGAUCGUUAAUAUAUUACGAAAGUUCACGAUAGAAAACAGAUUGUUGUACAUACGUAAUUGUAAGAGAGAAGUAGAACCAUGGAGCUGAGGUUCACGUCUAUGAACAACUGUAUUCAACUUCUGGGUCGGUAAAGCAGUUGAUUUAGUCCACAAUUAACUAGAAGUGGUGGACUCUAUUCUCCCCUUCUGUCUACGGUAGAACAGCCUUUUUGAAGGAAGAUUGAUUUCGUUAUAUGAACGAACAGCUUGUAUACAAGUCGCGUUGGUUGAAAAAUUUGCGUAGGCCAACGCGAGACCUUCGGGACGUUUAACAAACGGAUCUUCCUGCAGUUAAAUUUGCAUACUCAGUGGUUGGUACGUGUCAACCGAGUCACGUAUUCGUCCAUACACGAGUUCGGUCUCGAUUUCUGCUGUUGUUACAUAACAAUUACUGCACUGCGACCAGCAUCAUUUUCGCGUUUUCACGCGUCCAUUAAUAAUGUAUCCAUGCGUUCACCGUUUUCAUCUUGCGUGCAGAUGCUAGAAAACUUCUUUAUGAAUCAUUGUCAGCGCCAGCUACAUUCACGGUUCCUUUUGCGCCCUCCGGAGCCUGUCGCUCAGGGUCAUCAUCCAUCAACGAUCCAUCAUGGGUGCGCGCAAAUUCGUUUCACUGCGCUAGAUAUUCGGCCAGAGAAGCUCCGGACAAUCCUUUGGAUGAUAACUGCCACUUAUUUACUAUUGUUACAUUUGCCACCAAGGAUUCCAGAAACGUUGCUUUUACUCUGAUCUCUAUCACGACGGCGGCGAUUAAUAUCCGUCAAGAGGUUGAUCAUUCUAUUUUCGUUCCUGAAACUAUAGCCCCCACGAAAUUGUUAAACCAGCGAGAGGGUUGCGUAAUACUCCACUUUUCGCGACUUACGUGAAAAGAUGUUACGAUGAUUCACGGUCAUGUUUGGAUACUUACUUCAUUCCUCGCUCUUGCUAAAUAUGCAUGCUAUUAAAUGGUUUAUCGGACUCGCUCGACUUUCCACCGGACAAGUUAGAGAUAGCGUAGAAAUAGAUCAGAGACGAUCUUUGUUUCGUCCGAGGUGAGCCAUCCCACUAUUUACCCACAUACUGCAUUUUUCCUUUUACAACUUUCUAUGCACGUUCCACUAACGCCUACGUAAAUAGUAGACCUGCAUCUGCAAUGUGCGCAUUCAAUUAGCAUUAGUCAGCGCUCGCAAACAUACAGAUCUAUUUUGUUAAACAAUACACGGAUUUCAUUCAUUCUGUUUUCAACGAUUGUUUAAUGAGCUAACGAAACGGUCCUUCUGUCGGCUGCUACACUACAGCUUAUCAUAUUUGCUGUUAUAGCAAAAUACUUACACCUUUCAUUAAAAGCUUAAUAAAGUAACUAAAAAACGAUCGUACACCUAAGUGUGUUAUAGGGAUCAAUAUAAAGGUAAAAUUUCGAUCUUCAAAUUUGUAUAAGGAUCAGUCACGAAACAAAUUUUCGAAUGCAUUUACCGACGUUUCGAUACAUAAUAUUUUCAAGAAAAAGCAUGUUUCGAGUUUCCCGCCUGCUGUAUUAUACAAAAACAUGUUGCAAGAAAAUGAACGCUCCCUGGCAAAACUAGAGGCUUCAAGCUUUGAAAUGAAACCAGGUUUAUUAUUGUACGACUAUUGUUUACAAAAUGACAAUGAUUUAAAAAUCGACUGCUCUACGAA